AUUGAACGCUGGCGGCAGGCUUAACACAUGCAAGUCGAGCGGGGAAAGUUGCUUCGGUAACUGACCUAGCGGCGGACGGGUGAGUAAUGCUUAGGAAUCUGCCUAUUAGUGGGGGACAACAUUUCGAAAGGGAUGCUAAUACCGCAUACGCCCUAAGGGGGAAAGCAGGGGAUCUUCGGACCUUGCGCUAAUAGAUGAGCCUAAGUCGGAUUAGCCAGUUGGUGGGGUAAAGGCCUACCAAGGCGACGAUCUGUAGCGGGUCUGAGAGGAUGAUCCGCCACACUGGGACUGAGACACGGCCCAGACUCCUACGGGAGGCAGCAGUGGGGAAUAUUGGACAAUGGGGGGAACCCUGAUCCAGCCAUGCCGCGUGUGUGAAGAAGGCCUUUUGGUUGUAAAGCACUUUAAGCGAGGAGGAGGCUACUGGUAUUAAUACUACUGGAUAGUGGACGUUACUCGCAGAAUAAGCACCGGCUAACUCUGUGCCAGCAGCCGCCGUAA
rnacentral:rRNA from 1 species